GAGGAGAUCGUUAUGGGCCCUAAUAUUAUCUAGUGAAGAGUCUGCAGCUGCCUGGGACCAAAGACGGCAGCAGAAGGUCAUGCACUUCCAGAAGAUCCUGCACCAAACCGCCUCUGAGAUGAAUGGGAACAGUUAAACUGGUACGUGCGGGAGGGAAAGGCAAAAGUGGCGCCCUCUCGUUCCCCGAGUCGAAACAGGAUGUUCUGCACGGUGC